CCUACGGGAGGCAGCAGUGGGGAAUAUUGGGCAAUGGGCGCAAGCCUGACCCAGCAACGCCGCGUGAUGGAAGCAGGCUUUCGGGUUGUAAACUUCUUUUCUGAGGGACGAAGCAAGUGACGGUACCUCAGGAAUAAGCCACGGCUAACUACGUGCCAGCAGCAGCGGUAAUACGUAGGUGGCAAGCGUUAUCCGGAUUUAUUGGGUGUAAAGGGCGUGUAGGCGGGAAAGCAAGUCAGAUGUGAAAACUCAGGGCUCAACCCUUAGCCUGCAUUUGAAACUGUUUUUCUUGAGUGCUGGAGAGGCAAUCGGAAUUCCGUGUGUAGCGGUGAAAUGCGUAGAUAUACGGAGGAACACCAGUGGCGAAGGCGGAUUGCUGGACAGUAACUGACGCUGAGGCGCGAAAGCGUGGGGAGCAAACAGGAUUAGAUACCCCAGUAGUC
rnacentral:rRNA from 1 species